rnacentral:rRNA from 1 species
CCCUUAGACGUUCUGGGCCGCACGCGCGCUACACUGACCAGUGCAACAAGCAUCCGUCCUUGGCCGACAGGCUCGGGCAAUCUUUGAACGCUGGUCGUGAUGGGGAUAGACUUUUGCAAUUUUUGGUCUUCAACGAGGAAUUCCUAGUAAACGCAAGUCAUCAACUUGCAUUGAUUACGUCCCUGCCCUUUGUACACACCGCCCGUCGCUCCUACCGAUGAAUCGUCCGGUGAAGUUCAUGGAGUAGUGGUUGUUCCAUCCGCUGUCGAAGUGAAAUAAACCUCAUGAUUUAGAGGAAGGAGAAGUCGUAACA